UAUGAUUUAAAAAAAAACUCUACACAAGUAUAGGUGUAGUCAAAAUCUCAAAGAUUUAGUAGGAUUUUAUUAGGCGAAGGAUUACGAUGGAUUUGAAAGAGGUGGUAUAAAUACCAAAUGCCAUCCAAAAUCCAAUCAUAACACCUCUGAUUUCUUUUCAUGCCAGACGAAGAUGAACAGGCCAUUCCAUCUGUCUGUGAAGCUACUACCUUUUUCACCGAUGCUCAUAUCGAGCAGAAGAAAGUGUCCGACGUCAUUUGGCUUUUGAUCUCUCUGCUCAGUACGACUCCAUUCCCACUCUAGUCGAGUUCAUUCUCUGAAAUGUCUCAAGAAUCACAAUUUAUCUUUGUUUUGUGACUCUCUGCAUUUCCAGUUCUGCUUUCCACUGUUGUGGGUACUACGCAUAUUUAGCCUCGAAGUUGUUUGAUUAAAUGCCUCAAAGAAGUAUAUGGGAAUCAUAUUGGGGACUACUACAACCUGCAAAGGUUCUAAUAAGAGCACCUUCGAGUUAGGUUAGGUGACGCACUCAACUGCUUCAGUGAUUGUCAGCAGACUCACUGAUGAAGUGAAGAAUUGGAAACUGAGACGCACAGAAUAAGUAGACCAACUCAGGAUCUCCUCAUCUAGUUUCAUCUCCUGUACUGCGUGAAAGUGCUCUGUUGGGUCACAGACUCACAGGGACUUGUUUAGUCCAACUGAAUAUGUCAGUGCAAGGAGUCCAGCUGUUUCUGGCGGUAGGACCUGAAAAGGUUCAUAAUGCAGUAGGAAGUCUGGAAGUGUUCCGUUGAUAUGCACCAGCACCUCUACUUGCUCCACUUUCCAUCAUCAUUAUUAUUAUUAUUUUAUUUAUUUAUUUUAUAUUGAUUUGAAAAAAAGGAAAAUGAUUAUGUCAUGUCUCAUCUUUUCCCCUUUAUUUUUAUAUAUGAUCCUUUUUUUUUUCCUUGUUCUCUCACACGUUAAUCGCCAUUUCAUUCUCGACUUCAUCACUGCUAGCCUCGAUCUCUCCAUCCACAUCGAAGUAACGGUUGUCGAGGAACUUGAUGGUAGAUUUGACGAUGGGGACCGAGUCCGCAGCCGAGUUCACAAAAUUGUAAAGUGGCGUGGCUGCAGCUGAGAGGGUUGCCGAAGUGGAUGUCGCGGUCGCACGUGAUGCAGAGGGUGGCGUCGUUGGCCUUGCACGUGACAUGAGCUGGAGCAUGCUCGCAGACCUCGCAUAGCCAAACGUGGGCGUGGCUGGAUUUCAACAUGGAGCUUGGGCUUUGGUCCAUACUUGACUGGGCAGCUUGGCCUCUAUUGAUUAGAGAGAUCAAAGAUGGUUUCUUUGAGAAAUCAGUAGAAAGAGUGAAGGAAUUGGACUGGGACCUUGGUGAUGGUUCUUCAGGAUGUAUACUAUGGCAGAUUUGGAUCGAACAAGGGCUAGGCAUAGAAUUGUUAACCAAAUCAAGCGGGGAUAACUUUGGUUAGAACUUUGUACUGAUACAUGUUGUGCUAUACAACAUAAAAUAAAUAAGACAUAAUAUUUACUAA